CUUUCCUCCACCCGCUCGGCUCCCUCAACUGCUCAGGCAGUUCCUUCUCGUCUAGGGCUGUUUGAGCCAAACCGUGCUAGAACUCAUGUUUUGAAAAGCCAGGCCACUCUGUAACCUGGUUCUGUUAGUAGCAUCUUGAGGAUGGGGAUUUUCAGUCAAGUGCUGUUCACAGUUUUGUAAGGAGCUUUAUUUGAACUCCUCGAAACUAAACACCUGAGACGGUGAAAGUUUAAGUGAUUUGCCUGCGGUAGCAUUAAAGUUCUUACCCAUAUGAUCAUCUUUGGGAUCAAUGCGACCGUGACGUUGAUUUCACCGAGCACUUUAGGAGACUGCUCAGGAAAAGCUACCAAUGAACAAAAUGGAAUUUGAAGCUGAAACACCUGGAAGACUUGGUAUGGACUUGGCCCUGGUCUUGAAGAAGGAACCCAGACACAGCACAGGUGUGGGGGAAUGUGAAGACAGUGGGCCUCAAGGGCUGGCCCCAGAUGACGAGUCUCUGAUGCCGGAAGUCCUAGCAAGUGCAUUUCCUGCAGGACUGAUACUGAGCUUAUCUGUUUUCAUGGUGACCAGGCGUAGUCGAUUCUGCAGACUUAAAGCCAGUCUUCCCACCGUCUCUGACCAGGACCUUCACGACUUAUCUCCCUGCCCAGGCCUGGCCUCCCUGAUCCACCCCUCUUGCCAGCUCCACUUGAACACCUUCAAUGACUUUGUGGUGUCUUGGACACAUCCGGCUGCCUUAGCAGGCACAUGGGACCUCCCGUGGCCUCAGACAUCCCCACUGGUGGCCAGGCCCAUCAUAGUUGGGCUGGACACAGGGGCCUCCCCUCCAUGCUCUGCACACAUCAGAGCCCCCCAGGGCCCCUCAGGGCUCUUGCACUUCUGGCUGGACCACCCUGGCCCCCUCACUGUCAAACUCCUCAUCCCGCCUUUAAACUCACAGCAAAUGUCACUGCAUUUGUGGAGACCCUCCCACACCCUCCCUAGGGGCCCACAGCUCCCUGCCCACACCCCACAACUUCCCCUCAGGUAUAGAAGGCCCAGUGACCAUGAUCUCAACCCUGUGGGAGCCUCAGCACCCGCAUGGGCCGGGUUCACGCUGGGUGACCAAAUGCCGUGUGGUACACAAUUCAUAAAAUGA
rnacentral:lncRNA from 1 species